GCCUGACGCAGCAACGCCGCGUGCGGGAGGACGGCCUUCGGGUUGUAAACCGCUUUCAGGGUGAAGAGGUAGGACGGUAGCCUGGAAUAAGUCUCGGCUAACUACGUGCCAGCAGCCGCGGUAACACGUAGGAGGCGAGCGUUAUCCGGAUUUACUGGGUGUAAAGCGCAAGCAGGCGGUCGGAGAAGUCACGUGUGAAAGCGCCCGGCUCAACUGGGCGAGGACGGGUGAAACUCUCGGACUGGAGGUAGGUAGAGGCGCGUGGAAUUCCGGGUGUAGUAGUGAAAUGCGUAGAGAUCCGGAGGAACACCAGUGGCGAAGGCGACGCGCUGGACCUGACCUGACGCUCAGAUGCGAAAGCACGGGGAGCGAACGGGAUUAGAAACCCCGGUAGUCCGUGCCGUAAACGAUGCAGACCAGGUGUGGCGGGCGCAAGCCUGCUGUGCCGAAGCUAACGUGCUCAGUCUGCCACCUGGGGAGUACGGUCGCAAGAUUA
rnacentral:rRNA from 1 species